UGGGGAAUAUUGCGCAAUGGGGGAAACCCUGACGCAGCGACGCCGCGUGUGGGAUGAAGGUCUUCGGAUUGUAAACCACUGUCGCGAGGGACGAAGCUCUGACGGUACCUCGAAAGGAAGCACCGGCUAACUCUGUGCCAGCAGCCGCGGUAAUACAGAGGGUGCGAGCGUUGUCCGGAAUCACUGGGCGUAAAGGGCGCGUAGGCGGCCCGGUAAGUAGGGGGUGAAAUCUCAUGGCUCAACUGUGAGGCUGCCUUCUAGACUGCCAGGCUUGAGCACAGUAGAGGCGAGUGGAAUUCCCGGUGUAGCGGUGGAAUGCGUAGAGAUCGGGAAGAACAUCGGUGGCGAAGGCGGCUCGCUGGGCUGUUGCUGACGCUGAGGCGCGAAAGCGUGGGGAGCAAACAGGAUUAGAUACCCAAGUAGUCCCUG
rnacentral:rRNA from 1 species